UUUAUCUCUAAUUGACAGAUGGGGCUGAUGAACUUCCGUUCCGAGGAGGCUUGAACACAGAGAGAAACAUCGCAUACCGCAUUCAUUUUCCUUCGGUCUUAACAGAAGAAAUCAUCGAUGAAAAUGGUUCCUCCUCUGGUGGUCCAUCAUGUCUGUUCCAGGGAUGUCAAGUAUCAAGUGUCUUUGGAACAUUCUGACAUUUAAUAAACAGGUAGUGCCCCCGUUUAUGAUGUGCUACAUCGGACUUUUUACCACGCUUUUGACGGACUACGCCGGACUACUCUCAACCAAUCAGG